UUGCCACAGACCCUGCUAAAGAGUCUGUCCCCUUCUUU
rnacentral:miRNA from 7 species